rnacentral:rRNA from 1 species
UAAUACGUAGGGGGCAAGCGUUGUCCGGAUUUAUUGGGCGUAAAGAGCGUGUAGGCGGCCAGAUAGGUCAGCUGUGAAAACUCGAGGCUCAACCUCGAGACGUCGGUUGAAACCAUCUGGCUAGAGUCCGGAAGAGGAGAGUGGAAUUCCCGGUGUAGCGGUGAAAUGCGCAGAUAUCGGGAAGAACACCCGUGGCGAAGGCGGCUCUCUGGGACGGUACUGACGCUGAGACGCGAAAGCGUGGGGAGCGAACAGGAUUAGAUACCCUGGUAGUCCACGCCGUAAACGAUGGGUGCUAGGUGUGGGGGGUGUCGACUCCCCCCGUGCCGAAGCUAACGCAUUAAGCACCCCGCCUGGGGAGUACGGCCGCAAGGCUA